rnacentral:snoRNA from 2 species
UGCAAGGGCACUCUGUGUCACAUUGAUACUAUGCCACAAGUGGAACAAUUUGUAACCUUGCUAUAGAAAAACUCCUUUUU